rnacentral:rRNA from 1 species
GAUGAACGCUGGCGGCGUGCCUAAUACAUGCAAGUCGAGCGAACAGACGAGGAGCUUGCUCCUCUGACGUUAGCGGCGGACGGGUGAGUAACACGUGGAUAACCUACCUAUAAGACUGGGAUAACUUCGGGAAACCGGAGCUAAUACCGGAUAACAUGUUGAACCGCAUGGUUCAACAGUGAAAGACGGUUUUGCUGUCACUUAUAGAUGGAUCCGCGUCGCAUUAGCUAGUUGGUAAGGUAACGGCUUACCAAGGCAACGAUGCGUAGCCGACCUGAGAGGAUGAUCGGCCACACUGGAACUGAGACACGGUCCAGACUCCUACGGGAGGCAGCAGUAGGGAAUCUUCCGCAAUGGGCGAAAGCCUGACGGAGCAACGCCGCGUGAGUGAAGAAGGUCUUCGGAUCGUAAAACUCUGUUAUUAGGGAAGAACAAAUGUGUAAGUAACUAUGCACGUCUUGACGGUACCUAAUCAGAAAGCCACGGCUAACUACGUG